rnacentral:lncRNA from 1 species
AGGCUUCUCUGGCUCAGCUCCUGCCCUUGUCCAAGUCUGAUCCACUCUCAAUUAGGUUUGCUCUUAACCCACAUCCCAGUGGCCAGGUGAGCAGAGUUCAUGGCUCUGGGUUAAAUUCCUGGCUUGAGCUACUUCCUACUUGUGCCAGCUUGAGUGAACAAGCUAGCUUUUCUGAACCUCAGUGUUCUCCUACAGGAAGAGGAUGGUACCACAUCUCUUGCACAGGGCACGGAUGAGAGGACAGAGACCUGUGACUAAGAAACCUGGCUAAAGUCAGAUAAUUUCUGUAUGGAAGACUGAAUCUACCAUGUUGGACUCUUCAUUCUUGGGUCCAUAAUAUAGAUGAACAUACAGGAUAGACUGGAUUGCAAUUGGGAAACUCAAUGACUAUUCCUGUAUGGACUUUACUUAAGAAUAACAUCUUGGCAUCACUGAGGAGGAAAGAAUAUAAAAACUGUCCGACAGCCUCUGAGUAGGUCCAUCAAUUUGAAUCGGCUGGAACAGCUUCAGGAGGGACAGAUCGAGGAUGCAAGGGGAGGCAAGGAGAGGCCAAAAUCAAAACCGCUAUAAUAAUUCAACUGGGAACAUACUACGUUUGAGAGAUUUAUCAGACGUUUGCGUGGGGACGUCAAGUUAGAAGCUGCGUGUACAAGUCUGGUGUGCGGGAGAGAAGUAUAAAGGCUUAUUUCUGCUUUUUGAGUCUUGGUUACUCAAAGGAUGUGGAAGAUCCUGCCAGAAACCCUUGCAACAGAGAAGGAAUAAACUCUGCCUGCUCACUGGGAAGAUGAUUAACUGGGGGGUCUUGAAGGGAAAAGAGAAGCCAGAUGAAGACAGGAUGGACCACUACCUCUGGUGAAGCAGAGAUGACAUCUUUGGUUGGUUCCUUCUCCCAGAUUUUCCACCAGCUUCAAAUGACACUUUGAGUUGGGAGGAUAACCCGUGGGAGCCAGGCCAAACUAUUCAAAAGGAUUUCUUUCUGAAUAAGUGUCAAUGACUUAAUGACUCAAGAGCGGGAAUGAGUGCGUAAGGACAGAGCACGGGGCCGAAUGGACAGAUCCUUGCCCGACCUGUGGUGGUAUUUCUUCCAAUUGCAGGUUGAUGAGCUCAAAGCAGAAAUGGCCCAGUCCCUUCAAGAGAUGGCACUGCCCACUUCACUCCACAUUAAGAGAAGUCUUGACACUAUCACUUGCACUCCCAUUAUUGCCACUAUCUCUACAAAAUCAAACAUUACAGACACACAUUCUUGUGGGAGGGCAGUAGGCAUGAGAAGGAAUUAUUUCCUCCAUCAGAAUCUUUCUUCAGAUGUUCUGGCUUGGGACUUGCUGUGGCGUGAAGGGGAUGGACUUUCUAUAUACCUGGGGGAUGAGCUUGGAGAGAAGAACUCUCUUUGGAGGCUUUCAGUAGAAGAAUGUAUUCUGUCUUGGGAAUAUGUUCAGCAUAUUCAGAGCUAGUGAAUGCCUGGCACCUGAAAAUAAGUGAUCCCCACUGAGGGUCACCAUGGCGAUUCAACAGCUAGAAGGGUCUGGAGGAGAUGCACAUGAGACCUGAGGUUGGUACUAACUAUGCGAAAAUAGGAAACUUUCUCAUCUUUCCCAGCAUCCUUUUCCUCCUGUGUAAAAUGGGAGCAAUUGCCUUUGUUUACAGGGCUGUUAGAAAGUUUAGAUGAGACAAUAGGCAUAAAAGUACUCAAUCAGAGGCUAACAUGAGUGCUAUAAAGACAAAAGAGUGCUGGUAAUUCUGAGCAGGCAGAGGUUAAUGUGAUGGAGUCAUCAGAGAGUCCGGUGGAGAAGAUGAGCUAGACACAUUGAAUUCCUUGAAUUGUUGAUGAUUUUUCAGCUUUUAUCUUAACGUUACAAUAAUAAUACGUGCUCAUUGUGAAAAAUUUUGGGUGGGGAACAUAAACAAGAAAAUUGAAGUCUUUUCUAGUCUUGUCACUCUAGUCAAGCACUCUUAUCAAUGCUUGUUAACAUUUCUGGGAAAUCUUUACCACAUGUAACUUGGGUGAAAGAGAGGAGAGAGAAAAUUCUGGUCAUUUACUACUGUUUGAACAUAGAGGCUUGGCUUAAGCAAGGAGAACAUUUGGGUCAGGGGUGAGAAACUGUAGCAGAAGAUAAAGUUGGAGACAGAUCAGACAGGUUCUGUAUGCAAAGGCAUCAGUAGUUUCCCUUCUGAUUUUUUUAAAAGGAAAGUCGUAAAACCUUAACUUUCUGUCUCUCUUCCUGCUCUUUCACCUUCUGAUCUUUAUCAAUGCUCUCAAACAAAUUGACAUGAAUUGCCAUGGGAAAGGCUAUUACCUAGCCAAGAGAACAAUGGGAUUGAGGUGCCAGAGUCAGUUGUCCUCUCCUAUGAAAUAAAUUGUGGGUCUGUGCUGGAUUCUUGUAUGGGUGGCCUCUUGGUUUAUUAAUGAUUGGAACACUUUGGAAACUUCAAUCCCUGAACCUUGCUGGAACUGGGACAUGCUCCCCCAACCUCCACAUCUUUUAUUUUCUUUCGAAACUUUAUUUUUAUUAAAGUAUAAUUGAUUUACA